GAUGAACGCUGGCGGCGUGCCUAAUACAUGCAAGUCGAGCGAACGGACGAGAAGCUUGCUUCUCUGAUGUUAGCGGCGGACGGGUGAGUAACACGUGUAUAACCUACCUAUAAGACUGGGAUAACUUCGGGAAACCGGAUCUUAUACCGGAUGAUAUUCUGAACCGCAUGGUUCAAAAGUGAAAGACGGUCUUGCUGUCACUUCUAGAUGGAUCUGCGCUGCAUUAGCUAGUUGGUAAGGUAAUGGCUUACCAAGGCAACGAUGCAUAGCCGAGCGGAGAGGCGGAUAGGCGGCACGGGAACUGGACCAGCGUCCAGAGGCCUACGGGAGGGAGCAGUAGGGAAUCGUCCGCAAUGGGCGAGAGCCUGACGGAGCAACGCCGCGUGAGUGAUGGAGGUCUUCGGAUCUUAAAAAUCUGUUACUAGGGGAGAACAUAUGUGUAAGUAACUGUGCACAUCUUGACGGUACCUAAUCAGAAAGCCACGGCUAACUACGUG
rnacentral:rRNA from 1 species